GGUGACUCAAUGGUAGAGUGCUUGCCUCGCACGCAUGAGGCCCUGGGUUCGAUUCCUUAGUACCA
rnacentral:tRNA from 1 species